rnacentral:rRNA from 1 species
AGGUGAUAUGAACCGUUAUAACCGGCGAUUUCCGAAUGGGGAAACCCAGUGUGUUUCGACACACUAUCAUUAACUGAAUCCAUAGGUUAAUGAGGCGAACCGGGGGAACUGAAACAUCUAAGUACCCCGAGGAAAAGAAAUCAACCGAGAUUCCCCCAGUAGCGGCGAGCGAACGGGGAGCAGCCCAGAGCCUGAAUCAGUGUGUGUGUUAGUGGAAGCGUCUGGAAAGGCGCGCGAUACAGGGUGACAGCCCCGUACACAAAAAUGCACAUGCUGUGAGCUCGAUGAGUAGGGCGGGACACGUGGUAUCCUGUCUGAAUAUGGGGGGACCAUCCUCCAAGGCUAAAUACUCCUGACUGACCGAUAGUGAACCAGUACCGUGAGGGAAAGGCGAAAAGAACCCCGGCGAGGGGAGUGAAAAAGAACCUGAAACCGUGUACGUACAAGCAGUGGGAGCACAGAGCAAUCUGUGUGACUGCGUACCUUUUGUAUAAUGGGUCAGCGACUUAUAUUCUGUAGCAAGGUUAACCGAAUAGGGGAGCCGAAGGGAAACCGAGUCUUAACUGGGCGUUAAGUUGCAGGGUAUAGACCCGAAACCCGGUGAUCUAGCCAUGGGCAGGUUGAAGGUUGGGUAACACUAACUGGAGGACCGAACCGACUAAUGUUGAAAAAUUAGCGGAUGACUUGUGGCUGGGGGUGAAAGGCCAAUCAAACCGGGAGAUAGCUGGUUCUCCCCGAAAGCUAUUUAGGUAGCGCCUCGUGAAUUCAUCUCCGGGGGUAGAGCACUGUUUCGGCAAGGGGGUCAUCCCGACUUACCAACCCGAUGCAAACUGCGAAUACCGGAGAAUGUUAUCACGGGAGACACACGGCGGGUGCUAACGUCCGUCGUGAAGAGGGAAACAACCCAGACCGCCAGCUAAGGUCCCAAAGUCAUGGUUAAGUGGGAAACGAUGUGGGAAGGCCCAGACAGCCAGGAUGUUGGCUUAGAAGCAGCCAUCAUUUAAAGAAAGCGUAAUAGCUCACUGGUCGAGUCGGCCUGCGCGGAAGAUGUAACGGGGCUAAACCAUGCACCGAAGCUGCGGCAGCGACGCUUAUGCGUUGUUGGGUAGGGGAGCGUUCUGUAAGCCUGCGAAGGUGUGCUGUGAGGCAUGCUGGAGGUAUCAGAAGUGCGAAUGCUGACAUAAGUAACGAUAAAGCGGGUGAAAAGCCCGCUCGCCGGAAGACCAAGGGUUCCUGUCCAACGUUAAUCGGGGCAGGGUGAGUCGACCCCUAAGGCGAGGCCGAAAGGCGUAGUCGAUGGGAAACAGGUUAAUAUUCCUGUACUUGGUGUUACUGCGAAGGGGGGACGGAGAAGGCUAUGUUGGCCGGGCGACGGUUGUCCCGGUUUAAGCGUGUAGGCUGGUUUUCCAGGCAAAUCCGGAAAAUCAAGGCUGAGGCGUGAUGACGAGGCACUACGGUGCUGAAGCAACAAAUGCCCUGCUUCCAGGAAAAGCCUCUAAGCAUCAGGUAACAUCAAAUCGUACCCCAAACCGACACAGGUGGUCAGGUAGAGAAUACCAAGGCGCUUGAGAGAACUCGGGUGAAGGAACUAGGCAAAAUGGUGCCGUAACUUCGGGAGAAGGCACGCUGAUAUGUAGGUGAGGUCCCUCGCGGAUGGAGCUGAAAUCAGUCGAAGAUACCAGCUGGCUGCAACUGUUUAUUAAAAACACAGCACUGUGCAAACACGAAAGUGGACGUAUACGGUGUGACGCCUGCCCGGUGCCGGAAGGUUAAUUGAUGGGGUUAGCGGUAACGCGAAGCUCUUGAUCGAAGCCCCGGUAAACGGCGGCCGUAACUAUAACGGUCCUAAGGUAGCGAAAUUCCUUGUCGGGUAAGUUCCGACCUGCACGAAUGGCGUAAUGAUGGCCAGGCUGUCUCCACCCGAGACUCAGUGAAAUUGAACUCGCUGUGAAGAUGCAGUGUACCCGCGGCAAGACGGAAAGACCCCGUGAACCUUUACUAUAGCUUGACACUGAACAUUGAGCCUUGAUGUGUAGGAUAGGUGGGAGGCUUAGAAGUGUGGACGCCAGUCUGCAUGGAGCCGACCUUGAAAUACCACCCUUUAAUGUUUGAUGUUCUAACGUUGACCCGUAAUCCGGGUUGCGGACAGUGUCUGGUGGGUAGUUUGACUGGGGCGGUCUCCUCCUAAAGAGUAACGGAGGAGCACGAAGGUUGGCUAAUCCUGGUCGGACAUCAGGAGGUUAGUGCAAUGGCAUAAGCCAGCUUGACUGCGAGCGUGACGGCGCGAGCAGGUGCGAAAGCAGGUCAUAGUGAUCCGGUGGUUCUGAAUGGAAGGGCCAUCGCUCAACGGAUAAAAGGUACUCCGGGGAUAACAGGCUGAUACCGCCCAAGAGUUCAUAUCGACGGCGGUGUUUGGCACCUCGAUGUCGGCUCAUCACAUCCUGGGGCUGAAGUAGGUCCCAAGGGUAUGGCUGUUCGCCAUUUAAAGUGGUACGCGAGCUGGGUUUAGAACGUCGUGAGACAGUUCGGUCCCUAUCUGCCGUGGGCGCUGGAGAACUGAGGGGGGCUGCUCCUAGUACGAGAGGACCGGAGUGGACGCAUCACUGGUGUUCGGGUUGUCAUGCCAAUGGCACUGCCCGGUAGCUAAAUGCGGAAGAGAUAAGUGCUGAAAGCAUCUAAGCACGAAACUUGCCCCGAGAUGAGUUCUCCCUGACUCCUUGAGAGUCCUGAAGGAACGUUGAAGACGACGACGUUGAUAGGCCGGGUGUGUAAGCGCAGCGAUGCGUUGAGCUAACCGGUACUAAUGAACCGUGAGGCUUAACCUUACAACGCCGAAGCUGUU